rnacentral:rRNA from 1 species
UGGGGAAUUUUGGACAAUGGGCGCAAGCCUGAUCCAGCCAUUCCGCGUGAGUGAAGAAGGCCUUCGGGUUGUAAAGCUCUUUCGCAAGGGAAGAAAACUUACUUAAUAACACUAAGUGAGGCUGACGGUACCUUGAUAAGAAGCACCGGCUAACUACGUGCCAGCAGCCGCGGUAAUACGUAGGGUGCGAGCGUUAAUCGGAAUUACUGGGCGUAAAGCGUGCGCAGGCUGUUUUGUAAGUCAGAUGUGAAAUCCCUGAGCUCAACUUAGGAACUGCGUUUGAAACUACAAGACUAGAAUAUGUCAGAGGGGGGUAGAAUUCCACGUGUAGCAGUGAAAUGCGUAGAGAUGUGGAGGAAUACCAAUGGCGAAGGCAGCCCCCUGGGAUAAUAUUGACGCUCAUGCACGAAAGCGUGGGGAGCAAACA